UUUGAUGAUCACCUUAGGAUAAGAACGGUUCAGAGAAAUGAAGGUCAAGACAAUUGUCUGACGGUUGAGCGGAUGGGAGCUUGUAUGCGCGGAAAGGUCGGCGAUCCACCUUUUAACAAGACAUCCGAUGGAACAAUCGUAUUCGCCGAAAAUGUUUUUUCUCGUGCGUGCAGCUUAUUUACUGAACUAAGUAAGUGCUACAACAGCUUUGGACUCACCGACUGCGAUCCACUACUGCCCAUCUAUGUCAAGAAGUCACGUGAUGUGGCAAAUUUGGUUUGUCGUAAUGAAGACAAGUGGACUUCGCUGUUAGGAUGUAUGAAUAAGAGGACUUUUCAGACUGCAGUUAUAACCUUGGCAAACUCCGACAACGAACAAGUCAAUGCUGAAAAUAUAUGCUCGACUGCAAAUGAAAAACUAAAUGAAUUCCUGCAAUCUACACGUACAGCUUGUGGAGAGGAAGACUAUUCAACGAUAAAGACGGCAAUAAGCAGAGAUGCCUUUGUCUUAGUUAGUACAUUCGGGAUCCCGCGUUACCCCGAGCAAUGUGACUUUCAAGUCGACGAGACGCCUUCGUCUGCUCUGUAAAGAUGCCGAAGCUGAUCCAUGAUGAAACUAAUUUCAUGAACGACAACCGACUGAAUUGAAUCUUAAAUAAAUAUCACAUCAAUU
rnacentral:misc_RNA from 1 species